rnacentral:rRNA from 1 species
GAUGAACGCUGGCGGCGUGCCUAAUACAUGCAAGUAGAACGCUGAAGCUUGGUGCUUGCACCGAGCGGAUGAGUUGCGAACGGGUGAGUAACGCGUAGGUAACCUGCCUCUUAGCGGGGGAUAACUAUUGGAAACGAUAGCUAAUACCGCAUAAAAGUCGAUAUCGCAUGAUAUUGAUUUGAAAGGUGCAAAUGCAUCACUAAGAGAUGGACCCGCGUUGUAUUAGCUAGUUGGUGAGGUAACGGCUCACCAAGGCGACGAUACAUAGCCGACCUGAGAGGGUGAUCGGCCACACUGGGACUGAGACACGGCCCAGACUCCUACGGGAGGCAGCAGUAGGGAAUCUUCGGCAAUGGGGGCAACCCUGACCGAGCAACGCCGCGUGAGUGAAGAAGGUUCUCGGAUCGUAAAGCUCUGUUGUAAGAGAAGAACGAGUGUGAGAGUGGAAAGUUCACACUGUGACGGUAACUUACCAGAAAGGGACGGCUAACUACGUG